rnacentral:tRNA from 1 species
UCCCUGGUGGUCCAGUGGCUAAGACUCCACACUCCUAUUACAUGGGGCCCAGGUUCAAUCCCUGGUCAGGGAA